rnacentral:rRNA from 1 species
AUUGAACGCUGGCGGCAGGCCUAACACAUGCAAGUCGAACGAGUGGCGGACGGGUGAGUAAUGUCUGGGAAACUGCCUGAUGGAGGGGGAUAACUACGGGAAACUGUAGCUAAUACCGCAUACCAUCGGAUGUGCCCAGGUGGGAUUAGCUAGUUGGUGGGGUAACGGCUCACCUAGGCGACGAUCCCUAGCUGGUCUGAGAGGAUGACCAGCCACACUGGGACUGAGACACGGUCCAGACUCCUACGGGAGGCAGCAGUGGGGAAUAUUGCACAAUGGGCGCAAGCCUGAUGCAGCCAUGCCGCGUGUUUGAAGAAGGCCUUCGGGUUGUAAAGUACUUUCAGCGGGGAGGCGUUACCUACAGAAGAAGCACCGGCUAACUCCGUGCCAGCAGCCGCGGUAAUUC